rnacentral:sRNA from 1 species
UCACUAACAAGACAUGUCGGUCGAUGC